UCAGGUCAAGAGUGACUACAUGUUGGGGGUAGCUGAUCGAGUCGACCAAGACAUUGCACUUAAAUUGGGCUGCCUUGAAAUCAGGAGAUUUUUUAGGGAAAUGCGAGGAAAUGCCCUGGAUAAGAAAUCAAAUUAUGAAUUACUAGAAAAAGAUGUGGGUUUACGAAGAUUCUUCCCCAAGAGUUUGCUGGACUCUGUGAAGGUAAGAAGACCUUCUUUGCUCUGUUUCCCCAUCCUGGGGGUUCUAACAUAGGCCUCUGCAAAUAGGGAGAUGCCAUUGUUCAGAUUGAAACAGUGUCAUCACCUGGCUGGCUGGCUGGCUGCUCCU